CUGACUCAUUAAAAACAUGAGGAAACUCUGGAAAAAUGGACUCGACAUUCAUAAUUUGCGGGUCCCUCAAAGAGUUUUGGUUACAGAAUUACAUAUAAUUGUUUCUAGAAAAUAUUUUGGAAUAACGUUAAGUGACGCUAAAUCAUGCCACGAAAGGAUAUUUUCACUUGCACCUGUAUUCGGGAGUGCUCUCAUAUAUUGUAAGACGGGGAGUGGAGUGCUUAAUGGAUGAUGUACUAUUAACAAUGCUUGAGGCUGUUUCUACAUAGAAUUUCUCGUUGUCCUUGAGUGAGAUUUGGAUUCUGAAUCAUAAUUCUGAUCAUCUACAAAAA
rnacentral:lncRNA from 1 species